CAGUCACCAGAUCUGGUGCAGUGCAACUCCUGGCUUUUCCCCAAAGUCACAAUGACCAGGAAAUGGAAACAUUUUGGAGUUUGGUGUGGGAGUUGUUUUCUUUUGUUUUUGUCUAAGACAGGGUCUCACUAUGCUGUUCAGGAUAGCCUUGAGCUCAUUUUAUAGCCCAAGCUGGUCUCAAACUUUGCAACAGUUCUCCUGACUCAGCUCCCAAGUGCUGGACUUAUAGCUAUGCACCACCAUACCUAGCUCCUUUUUUAACAUUUUUAAUUCUUUCAGGACGUCAAGGCAGCCAGGCAGCCAGAAUAGCAAAGCAAAAGACCCUCAUGAAAGACGACUCCACAGCUGCUGCAGGAAGUGGCAAAGAUAAUUCAAUAAGUACCUUCAAAGCACAAGGAAGCAUUUUCAUGGAGAUUAAUUAUAAUGUACCUUUUAUUACCUGAAAAAUAUACGCAAAAUGAAGACAACGGUUUCACACUGGUAACUACCAUGAGCCAACAAGCACAGCAGCAGCCAGGGGUGAUGGUGCAGGCCCACGAUCCCAGCCCUCUGGGAGGCUGAGGCUGAAAGAGUGUAAGUUUGAGCUCACCCUGGGAACCCGGCAAGGUCUGCCUUAAAAUUACACAAAAAUAAAUAAAUAAAAGAGGCUGGGGAGCCCCAUACAAAGGCCCUGGCUUCAAUCCUCAACACCACCAAAAAGAAAAAGCAAA